CCCCCUUUAUUUUUAUUUUUAUUUUUAUUUUUAUUUACUAAUUAUUAUUGUUUUUAUUUUUUAUGGCGAUAGUGGCGAUUCUGUUAUUUUUUUUUAUUUUUUUAUUCCGCCAUGGUUUUUUUUGUGUUGAUAUUGUCAGAGUACCAGUGGUGGAGGGAGAUCCAGUCACUCUAAACACUGAUGUUGAAACAAACCAACAAGAAGAUAUUAAAUGGUAUUUUAAUGACAUUCGAAUCGCUGAAAUUAGUGGAGAUUUCAGUGAUAUCUGUACAGAUGUUCAGUGUAAUAAUGGCACUGAGAGAUUCAGAGACAGACUGCAGCUGGAUCAUCAGACUGGAUCUCUGACCAUCACAAACACCAGAACCACAGAUGCUGGACUUUAUGAACUAAAGAUCAUCAGCAGCAGCAACAUCAGUGAAAAGACCUUCAAUGUUACUGUUUUCGGUGUUUCUGCUUCUGAACAAGAUGAAAAUCCAGUGAAGGAGGGAGAAUCUGUCACUUUAGGUCCUGGUCUAGUAAGACAACCAAAUGAGGUGAUGAGAUGGUAUUAUAAUGGCAUUCUCAUCGCUGAAAUCACUGGAGAUCAGAGUGAGAUCUGUACAGAUGAUCAGUGCAAAGAGAGAUUCAGAGACAGACUGAAGCUGGAUCAUCAGACUGGAUCUCUGACCAUCACAAACACCAGAACCACAGACUCUGGACUUUAUACACUAAAGAUCAGCAGCAGCCUUCAUCACAGCAACCGUGCAACCAGUGUGAAGAGCUUUGGUGUUACUGUUACUGCUCCAGAUUCAGGUCUGUCUUCAGCUGCUGCAGCAGGAAUAGCUGUUGCUGUUAUUCUGCCUUUGGCUGCAGCUGCUGUUGCUUUUGGUGUGAUUUACUAUCGCAAGCAUCAAGAAAGAAGAGAAGACAGCAGGAGGCAGCACAGUGGUCAGAAAAUGAGUGAGGUGAACUGAAGAGAAGAAGUGCUAACAUGGAGCUGUGAAUCUGAAGGAUCUGGAGAGAUUCUGGAUGAAGGAAUGGUCUCUGAUCUCUUAUCAGGUGUUCUCCAAACUCUUCAGAUGAAUCAGAAUGAUGCUCUAGAGACCCAAGAGGCCUCACUGUAGGAGACUUCGACAUACUGUUGAACAUUACCGAUGGGACGUGCUGUAAUCAGACUGUCACGAUCACCAGCAGGAGUGCCCUUGAGCUCCACCAAUGGGCACUCCAUCCCUGAUUUUUACUAUUCACUCAGGACACCUUUUUCCAUAAUCCUUUGCCCAGACUCAUCCGCAGUCAUCAGUUGACCUAUCGGAUAUUUCCUUCUAAUGUCAUGCAAAAUCAUACCCAGGGGGCCAUUUUUAUGUUUCUCACCACUCCAACACCCCAGAAUCUCUCAAUGUUUUGUGUGGGAGCACCUGGCCGAGGAUCAACAAAUACCUCUUUAUGGUUCACAGUUAGAUGGUUAUAUCCAGCAUCUCUGAGACAGUUAUAGGCUCUCCACCCAUCUGACACAACAGUGCUUCCUUGUCUAACAUGCUUCUGGAGAAUUGGCAUGAGGUGUUGAGCUGAACGCUGAUUGACAACUCUCAGAAUGGGUCUUCUGCACUCCUCUUUGACCCCGAGCAUUCCAAACACCCAUGAUGCCCUGUUGCUCUGUCUUCCUCGGUUGUACUAAAAAUGACAAAAUUUAAGAUUUUAUUUUAUCAUUCAUCUUUACUAUAAUGUGUGACCAGAUGUAAUUGAAAAUAUAUUACCUUUUGUGGCCAAAUUUGCUCUCAUCAAUGAAAACAAUUUUGUGUCUUUUUCCAAUUUUCAGGUCUCCUCUUCUCUUCAUUCUUUUAAUUGCAGAUUUGCAGACUCCACACAAACGACAAGCAAGUAUAGUCAGUGCGUGGAAGAGAUUCCAGUGAUGCCUUCCUGUAGCACAUCCACUUGCCACAACUUGAGUCCUUGUGAAAAUUCAGUCCUUGAGGUUGAGAUUAGACUUGGAAAAUACUGAGCCACUUUCAGAUGCUUUUGCUGUAUGACUUACUGUGCCAUUUAUCUUGACACACAAAAGUAUUAAAAUAAGCAUAUUAACUUCACAACACCAAAAAUAUUUAAAGAUGUAAUACUUUCAAAGCAAAUGCGUAUUUUAUUAAUAAAAACACUCCUGUUUUUAAAUAAUAAUUAUUUCAUAAUGAUAUAAAUAGUUUAAUGUGUCACACUUUAUAUGUGACCCUGGACCACAAAACCAGUCUUAAGUGUAAAUUUUUCGAAAUUGAGAUUUAUACAUCAAUAAAUAAGCUUUCCAUUGAUGUAUGGUUUGUUAGGAUCGGACAAUAUUUGGCUGAGAUACAACUAUUUGAAAAUCUGGAAUCUGAGGGUGCAAAAAAAUCUAAAUAUUGAGAAAAUCGCCUUUGAAGUUGUCCAAAUUAAGUUAUUAGCAAUGCAUAUUACCAAUCCAAAAUUAAGUUUUUAUACAUUUACGGUAAGAAAUUUAUCUUCAUGAACAUGAUAUUUACUUAAUAUACUAAUGAUUUUUGGCAUAAAAGGAAAAUCGAUAAUUUUGACCCAUACAGUGUAUUUUUGGCUAUUGCUACAAAUAUACCCCAGCAACUUGAGACUGGUUUUGUGCUCCAGGGUCACAUAUAACCUUGCUAUGUGUACUGCGUUGGGCUAACCAAAAUGAAGCAGACGAAGCAGCAUAUAAUUGUAUUAGCAGAUCCUUGUCACUGUACAUGUACAGUGAAACAGGUGGAGCAAUCUCCAGAUGCCUUCAUAGUAAAUGAAUACAAAUACAUAAAUGCCCAUGUACGAAUCCACACACAAGUUUUACUCAAUAAAGCCUAUGCAACUAUUCAAUAUACUAUGCAAUAAAAUACAAUAAAACCUCAAAAACAAAUGUACAUAAAUGUAAACAUUAUAUGCAAUAAGACAGAAAGUGACAAGUGCUGAGAUACUGUAAUGUGAGAGCCAUACUGAACUGAAUAAUUAUGACAGGUUUUAGUUUUUGAUUGUUCUCUUGAUUCCACACACACAAUUUGCAUUUGAGGAUCUUGUAAUAUGUGACCGGUGUUUUGUUUUGUUUUGCUCUAUCCUCCGUGCUUCUGUGUUCAUCAAUAUGUCAAGCAUAAGUUUGUUUCACUGGAUCAAACCCAGCUGAAUUUUGCAGGAUUUGUUCUCGUGGUGACAGAUGCAUACACAACAUGAGUCCCCUCUUUAACGUUCUGUAAAAAACAUCACAUAAGAUAUAAUACUAUUAAAAUUAUUAUAUUAAAAAUGUGGUGUCCUGAAGGUUGGUUGAGAUUGAAUGUAAAAUAACAGUCAUAUAAUUUAAUGAUAAAACUAAUAUCUUCUUCCUAACAUGAAGCAGAUUGAAACUGGGUUUUCAGUGGUUUUGCUUCAGGAUCCAAAUUUUACAUUGGGCAUCAAGUGGUGACACAAAAUUGUUACUCUUUCAAAAGUAAACAUUGCCAUAAAAUCAAAUACUGAAAAAGAAGCAAAAAUUGUAACUUUACAUCAGCUUGUCACUGAGAAAGUACACUCACACCUUCUCUACCCCUAAAGUACAACUAUGCACCCUUUAAGGAUGGAGAAGUUAUUACUCAAACGAUAACCGAUUGUUCCAGCGAUUAAUUGGCAAAAAUGAUAAAUAGUUGUUGUUUUUUUUUGGUUUGUUUGUUUUUUACAUUGAUUAUAUUAUAUUAUAAAUAUCUGAUAUGAUGCUGUUGUGUGUGAUGUAUAUGAUUGAUCAUUAUACAAAAAUAAAAACACAUCCAUAUCUGACUCACAGCUAAAAUAAUACAGAGACUAAAUGCAGAG